AGAGGCAUGCAGUGUUAGAAACCCCAUCUUUGUGACUCUAAACCAAUUCUCAGCUCCUCCGCCAGACAACUCAUCAGAUAAAACCUUUGCCUUUGCAGCAGAAAGUGAAGCACCUUAAGAUUAAAGAAAUUUCAGGGACUAAUAUCGAGAUGAACCAGGCAUGGAGACCAAGCUGCAGAAUCCCAGAAAUGACCUCCAGGUUGUUAGUCUACAGCCCAGCCAUCGUCAAGAUAACAUUAGACUGCGUUCCAGGUGGACCAUGACUCAAGAUAGCCACCAGACCGACGCACGGAGACCUAGCACCCAGCACCACUCCUGCAUGCCUCCCACUCUAAGUUCCGCUUUAUAAACACCUCUCCCCAGCCUAAAGUUUGAAAUUGUCUUUUAAGGGCAUGAGCUUGGCCAUUCCCAAAUCUUGGCAUUUGAAUAAAGUAGCUUUCUGUUCAUCACA